rnacentral:rRNA from 1 species
GACAGAGGGUGCAAACGUUGCUCGGAAUCACUGGGCGUAAAGGGCGUGUAGGCGGGAAUGUAAGUCGGGCGUGAAAUCCCUAGGCUCAACCUAGGAACUGCACUCGAAACUGCGUUUCUUGAGUAUCGGAGAGGAAAGCGGAAUACCUGGUGUAGAGGUGAAAUUCGUAGAUAUCAGGUGGAACACCAGUGGCGAAGGCGAGUCCCUGGACAACACCUGACACUGAGGCACGAAAGCUAGGGGAGCAAACAGG